ACCAAAACCUUUUUUUUUUUUACAUGGAUCCUCGGUUUGGGAGACCUUGCACAUCCAUGUCAAAGCCGCGACCCAUUGAACAUAAGAAUCAAGGCGCUAUCUCUCAUGACAACAGAGAUCAUUAGGCAGCCCGUUGUUUAUAGUUAUGGGAAGACUCACAAGAUGUGUCCCAUGAAGAAGAGGACUGUUACACACACCGUGUAGCCUUGCCUGGAUGUAGCCGCGCGUCUCCUGGAAGGCCUGUCUCUGGGACAUCUCGGCCGGGUAGUGGGUGCAGAUGCCGAUGAUGUUAGUGCACAGGAAUAUCAGCACGUUGGCGCUCACCUGGAGGGACACAGGAAGAGGAAAGACUGCUGAAUUACUGCUGUAAGGAGAAUAACACGGCUUUCAACCGUUGCCGUAGUGAUAUUAGAACCAUGUACUAUGUACCCUUAAUUUAGUGCGGAAAUUAUUCAAGGAUUCAAUCAUUUGUUGACAGAAAAUUCUAGAUUCCUUGUUUUUGACCUUUAUUACAUGGAAAUACCAUGAGAAAUAACAAGUCUUUCUUACAUCUUCAUAAAUACAAAUACUUUGGGUUUAUGAUUCCUUUUUGUCAAUUGUUCAUCCAGUGAUUAGUCAACAAUAAAAUGAAUCAUGAAUUA